UCUGAAUCUGCGAACGGCUCCGCAAACCAGUUGUAAACUAUAGCAAGCAAGCCCGGGGUCGGCCUUCACGGGCUGGUUCCGGGUGAUAUGGAUAACCCUGGUAAUUCUGAGGCUAAUACAUGACCGUAAAACCUAGCUGACCGGCUUCGGCUGGGAUGCUGGGGGACGUGUGAUUUGGGCUUGGUAACACCGGGAAGGGGCGCACGUCUAGACCACGCUAUAAAGGUCGGUCUCCUCCUCGGAGGGGGUCGUCCCAGUGGCUCUUGCUGUGUGCUUCUGACCUAUCAACUAGACGGCAGCGUAAGGGACAUGCUAUGGU
rnacentral:rRNA from 1 species